AAGACUCCGUCUCAAAGAAAAAAAAAACAAAAAAACAAAGACUCAGAGCUCUGGAGAGCUGCCUAGAGCACUGGGCCCAGUUGUGGCCCUUUGAGUUUUGACUUUGGUCAUUUUCGUGCUGGCCGGAGGUCCCUCGGGGUCCCCUACCUCAUGGUGGCCAGUGGGUUCUGGCCACCCCGCAGUACUCUGGGCAUCCUGGGGACACUGGAUUAAUAGGCAGUUUGAAACCUUGACGUCUGGCCUGCUUGUGGAAGCCACAUGUCUGUGUAGGAAAUGGGUGUAUAUUCAAGGCCACGUGUGUCCAGGUAGCGGGGAAGGAGUGAGGUGAGGGCUGUGCGGAGGAGCCACACAGGCCUGUGUCUGAGUGUGUAACCACCACCGUGCUGCUCUGCCCCACCCGAGUCACCCCGCCAGGCUCAGCACUCCUCCUAGGGGUGCCAGCCUCCACUUCACAAAAAUAUUCCUGUGGGAACUGCUAUUAGCCCUGGAAGCGCAUUCUUUUUCAUCUCCUUGGUGACAAUCAACUCUCAUCUUUCAGGGCUGACACAUCUUUAUAAGCAGCCAGAAUCAAGUCUGUGGAAUAAGGCAGGUGGGGCAGGAGGUGGUCGGGCUGGAAAGCACUGUGGAGGGUUCAGAGGGAUGAGAUUACCGUGGCGCCUCACCUGGCUCCGACAGAGCCCUGUGUGUUGAGUGUGCGCAGCGCAUGUGUACGUGUGUGUGUCUCAGAAAGGGCAGACGGAUGGGGCAGGCCUGCGGAGGACGCCAGGCCCAUGGAUGGCUGAGUUCGUGUUAGCAGGGGUCAGGGGGCCAAGCACCAUGUGCUCUCUCUUAUACGUGUGGAAAGCAGGCUAGGCCAGCUGGCCUUGCUCUGCCCUCCAGGACGAAAGGGGAAAGAAUUAGGGUUGAUGAUGGGUGAUUUCCAAAGCACAAGAUUUCACUGAGAAGAAGGUAGGGGAUUCACAGCAGGUGAGUUUCUGGUGGAUUUGCUCAAGAGGGCAUGACCUGAAACCCCCUGUGGACAGAGACACCAGAGAGAGAGCCACGUGUAGCCUGGUGUAAUGUCAUUUCCUAGGGACUGAGGGCUCCAGGGGUCCCGGGAAGACCUGGGGUCUAGGAGCCCAGACACCUGCCCAGCUCUGACCCAGGCAGAUGGGAAAGCCACCAUGGUCUCUCUGGCAAAGGACAAGGGAGCUCUGGAAGCUCUCACGCCAGCAGUGACACGUGCAGCCCAGAAGCACACCCAUUGCCUCUGCUCACAGCUCACUGGCCAGAGCUCAUCACCUGGCCUGCUUCACCACGAGGGGACCAGGAAGUGUCUGGAAGGCCAAGAGCCUGAAAUAUGCAGUGAACGGCCCUAAUGACAGCCACACCACUUACCAGCUCAGAGACCGUGGGCAAGUUACCUUCCUCUGCCUCUGCUCCCUUGUCUAGGGCGUGGAGAUGAGGUGUCCUUCCUAUUCACAGGGUUGCUGCGAGGACAGAGUGAGUUGGCACACACAAGCACAGAGCGCCCUGCUUGGCUCCGCUGAAAGAAAGUUCCUUCUGGCUGAGAAAUGACUUGCCGUCCCGCUGAGGCUCCAGUCUGAUAAGGCAGGUGUGUAAUCCGUCCAUAUCCUCUAUCUCUUACUGGCUCCGUUGUUCUUUUCAUUCCCCAUUUUUCUUGGCCUAUUUCUUAUAUGUCUUUAUUUAGUUUUAAGAAGAGUGGAGAAAGAGAUGUCUGUUCAACAAAAUCUGAAAAGGGUGUGUCUGCUACAAGUGGGCCUCCCAUGCCACUUGUCUCUGCCAUCACUAUCUCUGAGAGGCAGAGGGGAAUGGGCAGGGGAGAGCCUUAUGAAUGACUGAGCCUCCCUGGUGGCAGGUCAGGUGGCCGGGCAGGCCCCAUGAAGCUCUGACACCCACAGGGCUCUGACGUCCCUGCCCACCCACCAUCAGGCAUUUCUUACUGGAUAGCACUGGCUUCUGGGUCCCUGAUGGUGAUCACCCAGCUUCCUUGUGACUCUGCAUUCCCGUCUCUAAAAUGGGCUUUUCCCACUACCUUGGGCCAGUCCUUAGCAGCAACGCAGCUUAUUUCCUGCAUUGAGUUUGGCAGAUGCCCUCUCUCCCCAACUACAGCAUAAGGUCCUGGGAGGCAGAGGGGCCGUUGACAGUACAUGUUCUAAUGUGUCUCUGAGCAACAGUGUGCUUCCUUCUGGCCGUGGGCCUGGGGCUGCAGCCACCCUCACAGGGCCCGACUGUGGUGGCGUCCCAAGGAAACGCGGCCCUCUCAGACACGCACUUUUUUUGUUUUUAAAUGGACAGAAAAAAAGCCACAUCAUGAAAGUCCUUAAGAACUGGACCCUUGACCUAAAAUGACCAAAGCUGAGAAUGAAGCUGCCUCAAGUGCAUCACAGGCCUCUUAGCCCAGUCUCUCAGCGGGUCUUAAAUGCUACCAGCGGCCCCGCUGGCCCUGGGGAGCACCUGAGACCCCGGAAUAGGCUUGCUUUCUCCUUAGCCUGUCUGGCCAACUGAGACCUGGAUGUCAUCCCUGCCCACCCACUGUCAGGCGUUGUCAUUUCAGCAGAGACUUACACCUGAGACUGAUUGGGACACCCGGAGACCACUCACGUAUGUACCUGCCCUGGCUUUGACCCCAGGCUCUUGAGAGCCUAGCUCCCAUCCGCAGAGCCAGACCCCCAAGGCAGCAGGGCUGGCCCUAUUUCUUCCUGAGCAGAAGCUAAUGGCAUCUCCAGUCAGCUCUCCACACAGCAGGGAAGGGGCUUUCCAUACCUUCGAAGGAAGGGCCUGUUGAGCCUGCGUUGCUGAGGGGCUAGACGGGGCCCAUGGCGGAGGGCUGCCUUCAAAACAGCUGGGUGCAGAAAUUAUAGCUUCCUAGUGAUGAUCGGCCCCACUUUGCGUGGCAACACAAUAUGUUCCUAAUGACUGAAUUGUUUAUUUAAUAAAGAAAUCACAACCAUUUGGAGGUUUAAAUAUAGCCUCUCAGAAACCAAGUGAGCUCAGCUCUUGGUGGCUGCGUGGUGCUGGCACCGGCCCAGUCUCUGCACCGCACGAAGCCUUUAGCAAUCGCUUGAAAAAAAAUAUUUUGCAAGAUCUCUUGAGUUUCACUAACCCUGCUGUAGUUUCUUGAGUCUCUACUUGGCUUUCAUAGAAGAAGCCAGUUAUGUAAAAGUCAGAAACUACCUGCAGGUUCUGAAUCAAAUGGGGAGGGUCAAAGGUGGCUCUCCGCCCACCCGGGGGUUGCAGGUAAGGCAAAGUGGGAGGGGACCCCUUUCCCCCCACUCUGUCUUGGAACUCCAGGGAAUGGCAAGGAUGGGUCCCUGGAGUGGUUUCCUGCAGCCUGCAAUACAGACUGUCCCAUUCGAGAACCUUUUAGCUCAAAACAGCACGGCCAGCAAGGCCCUAGGACAUUCCAAGCAAAACUGCUCUUCUCCUGCCUUCUCGGGGGAGUUAGUUAGGGCUCUGUCUCUGAGGCUCUGGGUAAAACCCAGGCUCUGACUUGCAGGGGAGUUCUUCGGCCUGAAGCCAUAUUCCUCAAACUCCCCGAAAACUCCAUCCUUCCCCUGCCUCCCCACACGCCCACCUCCCACAGCCCAGGCCACCAAUCAAGACUGCGAGACGGCAUAGUGUACAAGAGUUUAUUUAAUGAUAUCUGAAUUUAGUUCUAUCAUGUGGGGCCCACAUUACAAGUUCCAUCUGGGUCCAUUACAACUCUAACCAACCCCCCACCCCCCCCCA
rnacentral:lncRNA from 1 species